rnacentral:rRNA from 1 species
UGAGGAAUAUUGGUCAAUGGGCGGGAGCCUGAACCAGCCAAGCCGCGUGAGGGAGGAAGGCCCUAUGGGUCGUAAACCUCUUUUGUCAGGGAACAAAAGCGAGUAUGUAUACUAGUCUGAGUGUACCUGAAGAAAAAGCAUCGGCUAACUCCGUGCCAGCAGCCGCGGUAAUACGGAGGGUGCGAGCGUUAUCCGGAUUUAUUGGGUUUAAAGGGUGCGUAGGCGGCGGUGCAAGUCAGCGGUAAAAGCCCGGGGCUCAACCCCGGCGAGCCGUUGAAACUGCAGUGCUAGAGAAGGCGAGAGGUACGCGGAAUGCGCAGUGUAGCGGUGAAAUGCUUAGAUAUUGCGCAGAACUCCGAUUGCGAAGGCAGCGUACUGGCGCCUGACUGACGCUGAGGCACGAAAGCGUGGUGAUCGAACAGGAUUAGAUACCC